rnacentral:rRNA from 1 species
CCUACGGGAGGCAGCAGUGGGGAAUAUUGGGCAAUGGACGCAAGCCUGACCCAGCAACGCCGCGUGAAGGAAGAAGGCUUUCGGGUUGUAAACUUCUUUUAACGGGGAAGAGCAGAAGACGGUACCUCUCGAAUAAGCCACGGCUAACUACGUGCCAGCAGCCGCGGUAAUACGUAGGUGGCAAGCGUUGUCCGGAUUUACUGGGUGUAAAGGGCGUGUAGCCGGGUUGGCAAGUCAGAUGUGAAAUCCGCGGUCUCAACCGGCGAACUGCAUUUGAAACUGCUUCUCUUGAGUAUCGGAGAGGUAGCCGGAAUUCCUAGUGUAGCGGUGAAAUGCGUAGAUAUUAGGAGGAACACCAGUGGCGAAGGCGGUUUGCUGGACAGCAACUGACGGUGAGGCGCGAAAGCGUGGGGAGCAAACAGGAUUAGAUACCCGAGUAGUC